UACGUAGGGCGCAAGCGUUAUCCGGAAUUAUUGGGCGUAAAGAGCUCGUAGGCGGUUUGUCGCGUCUGCCGUGAAAGUCCGGGGCUCAACUCCGGAUCUGCGGUGGGUACGGGCAGACUAGAGUGAUGUAGGGGAGACUGGAAUUCCUGGUGUAGCGGUGAAAUGCGCAGAUAUCAGGAGGAACGCCGAUGGCGAAGGCAGGUCUCUGGGCAUUAACUGACGCUGAGGAGCGAAAGCAUGGGGAGCGAACAGG
rnacentral:rRNA from 1 species